GAUGAACGCUGGCGGCAUGCCUAAUACAUGCAAGUCGAGCGAACGGACGAGAAGCUUUCUUCCCUGAUGUUAGCGGCGGACGGGUGAGUAACACGUGGAUAACCUACCUAUAAGACUGGGAUAACUUCGGGAAACAGGAGCCAAUACCGGAUAAUACUUUGAACCGCAUGGUUCAAAAGUGAAAGACGGUCUUGCUGUCACUUAUAGAUGGAUCCGCGUUGCAUUAGCUAGUUGGUAAGGUAACGGCUUACCAAGGCAACGAUGCAUAGCCGACCUGAGAGGGUGAUCGGCCACACUGGAACUGAGACACGGUCCAGACUCCUACGGGAGGCAGCAGUAGGGAAUCUUCCGCAAUGGGCGAAAGCCUGACGGAGCAACGCCGCGUGAGUGAUGAAGGUCUUCGGAUCGUAAAACUCUGUUAUUGGGAAAGAACAGAUGUGUAAGUAACUAUGCACGUCUUGACGGUACCUAAUCAAAAAGCCACGGCUAACUACGUG
rnacentral:rRNA from 1 species